rnacentral:rRNA from 1 species
CGACGUGAGGAACCUGCCUUUCAGAGGGGGACAACAGCUGGAAACGGCUGCUAAUACCGCAUAACACAUAGGUGUCGCAUGGCAUUUAUGUCAAAGAUUUAUCGCUGAGAGAUGGCCUCGCGUCUGAUUAGCUAGUAGGCGGGGUAACGGCCCACCUAGGCGACGAUCAGUAGCCGGACUGAGAGGUUGACCGGCCACAUUGGGACUGAGAUACGGCCCAGACUCCUACGGAAGGCAGCAG